UAUUGCUGAAAUAGUUCCUGGUCUAACAAG
rnacentral:piRNA from 1 species